rnacentral:rRNA from 1 species
GACAGAGGUGCCAAGCGUUAGGCGGAAUCACUGGGCUUAAAGCGUGUGUAGGCGGAUCGUUAAGUACCUUGUGAAAUCCCACGGCUCAACCGUGGAACUGCUGGGUAUACUGGCGAUCUUGAGCCACCUAGGGGCGAGCGGAACAAGCGGUGGAGCGGUGAAAUGCGUAGAUAUCGCUUGGAACGCCAACGGUGAAAACAGCUCGCUGGGGUGUGCUGACGCUGAGACACGAAAGCCAGGGAGCGAACGGG